GCCCGGGUCGCCUAAUUGGUAUGGCGCAGCCCUGGAGAGGCUGUGGCCGAAAGGCCGUGUGGGUUCGAAUCCCACCCCGGGCG
rnacentral:tRNA from 1 species